CACCGACGCUUCUUGCGGUAAACCGUCGCGCGUAAAGUUGUUAUAGACUACUUGGACUAAAUCAACAGCUUUGUGGACAACGACUUUCUGCACGGAGCAUAUUAAAUAAUUUAUUUGGAGUCUAUUUAUUGGAAAGUGCAAUAAAAUAUAAAUGGUCAACUCAACCGUUAAAAAUAUGCCCAAUAAUGAGUUGGGUUAACAACUGGUAGAAUACGCGCGUUUUUUUCGAAUCAUUGGGUGCACCUUGCAUUAACAAAACAAAUGAUAUAUUCGAAAUAAUUAUAACACUUUUCAAAUAAGGUAUUCGGAUUGUUUGGAAUUGUGUAAAGAGUGUUCGACAUGGCUUUAUCUCUUCCAGUGGAUGGAAAUGCCAAAAUUUGUUGAAAUAGACUGGGGGACGCAAUGCUGUAAAUAAAGGAGAUUCACAUCUGGUGAAGUCAUCCCUAGGACAGGAGACUCAGGAUGAGAAGAUGGCCACCGUGCUGCUACCACCGGGUCCUGACAGCUUGCACCGGUUUACCUGGGAGUCCCUGGCUGCCGUGGAGCAGCGGAUCGCCGAGGAAGAGGCCCGGCGCACCAAGCACUACCAGGAGGACCUGGGAGAUGUGGAGCUGCCCAGGCCCCGGGCCGACCUGGAGGCCGGCAAACAGCUGCCGCGCAUCUUCGGCGACAUCCCCAACGGCCUGGUGGGCGUCCCACUGGAGGACUUCGACCCCUUCUAUUUCAUGAACCAGAGAACUUUUAUAGUACUGAACAAGGGGAAGGCCAUCUUCCGAUUUAGUGCCACAUCUGCACUCUAUAUUUUUAGCCCCUUUCAUCCUGUUAGAAGAGCAUCAAUAAAGGUUUUAGUACACUCGUUAUUCAGUCUGUUCAUAAUGUGCACUAUUUUGACCAACUGUUGCUUCAUGGCCAUGUCGGAACCAGAGUAUUGGGCCAAGUAUGUAGAGUACACUUUCACUGGCAUUUACACGUUUGAAUCGUUGAUAAAGAUUCUGGCAAGGGGAUUCUGUGUGGGGCCAUUUACCUUCCUGCGUGACCCUUGGAACUGGCUGGAUUUCAGUGUGAUUGUCAUGGCAUAUGUUACUGAAUUUGUGGACCUGGGCAAUGUCUCAGCAUUACGGACAUUCAGAGUCCUACGAGCACUGAAAACUAUCUCAGUCAUCCCAGGCCUGAAGACCAUCGUGGGUGCGCUGAUCCAGUCAGUGAAGAAGCUGGCGGACGUUAUGAUCCUAACCGUUUUCUGCCUCAGUGUGUUCGCCCUCAUCGGCCUUCAGCUCUUCAUGGGUAACCUACGACAGAAGUGCGUACGCAGCACGGCGCACUGCGUCAACAACACCCUCAACACCAACACAACCUUUUUCUGCAACAACCGGACGUGGUCCUCACUCAAAGACUUUAUUGCAGACGAAGAUAACUACUACAAAGUGGAGGGAGCGAAGGAUGCCUUAAUAUGUGGGGACGGGAGUGAUGCUGGGCAUUGCCCAGAUGGGUUUGAAUGUAGGAAGGCAGGAAGGAACCCUAACUAUGGUUACACCAGCUUUGACAGCUUUGGUUGGGCGUUUCUCUCCCUCUUCCGGCUGAUGACACAAGAUUACUGGGAGAACCUCUAUCACCAGACUCUGCGGUCAGCAGGAAAGACCUACAUGGUGUUCUUCGUGGUGGUCAUCUUCCUGGGGUCAUUCUACCUGGUUAACCUGAUCCUAGCUGUGGUGGCUAUGGCCUACGAGGAACAGAACCAGGCCACUAUCCAGGAGGCCUGGCAGAAAGAGAGGGAGUUCCAGCUGGCCAUGGAGUGCCUCAAGAAGGAAGCGCAGAAAGCUCAAGACACAGAUUCAUUGAUUUUCCUGGACCUGUCCCCUGGCCUGGCUCUGCCUGACAACAAGGAGUUGCAGAGCAGGAGGAGAAGUCUAGAGGGGCUGGUGGAGGAGACGGAGAACGAGGGAGACGUGGAGAAGGGAGACGUGAAAACAUUAAAGGUGGAUACAGUGGAUGGGGGCAGGCCAACACACCCCCUCCUCAUCCGCACCAUCUCCACGCGCACUAGACGAGGAAGCAACGUCAGUAUAUUUAACUUCAAUCGCCGGAACAAAGACCCAGAGGGUGACUUUGCCGACGAUGAGCUCAGUGUCCAUGGGGACAAUGAGGGGACACACAGUCGUGCUGGGUCCCUGGUGGUCCCGUGGAGCACCAGACGCAGGCCCAGUACCUACAGCACGGGCAGCCGGGGUUCCCAGGUCUUCCUCAACAUCAAUGGGAAGCUGUUUGUGGCCAUGGACCAGAACGGGGUCACCCCGCAGGGCCUCCCAGCAUGCACCAUUGAGAGGGUCAAGGAGGAGAGUAGGCCUAACUCCAGCACAGAGCUGAGCAACAUGCUGCUCCCUCGCCAGGUAUCCAGACAAGAGCACGCACGCAGGGACCGAGCUUUGAGCGCCGCCAGCUACCUCACCGACGCCUUGGAGGAACUGGAGGAGUCGCAUCAGAAGUGCCACCCCUGCUGGUAUGAGUUUGCCCACAAGUACCUGAUCUGGGAAAGCAGUCCACGUUGGCUUCGGUUGAAGGCGCUGGUCAAGGUGAUGGUGAUGGAUCCCUUCCUGGACCUAGCCAUUACCAUCUGCAUCGUGCUCAACACCCUGUUCAUGGCCAUGGAGCACUACCCCAUGACUGACGAGUUCAACGGCAUGCUGUCCAUAGGCAACCUGGUAUUCUCCGGGAUCUUCACCGCUGAGAUGGUUUUAAAGAUCAUCGCUCUGGAUCCAUACUACUAUUUCCAACAAGGUUGGAACAUCUUUGACAGCAUCAUCGUGUGCCUCAGCCUCAUGGAGCUGGGCCUGUCCGACGUGGAAGGACUGUCCGUUCUCCGGUCCUUCAGACUGCUGAGGGUGUUCAAGUUGGCCAAGUCGUGGCCUACCCUCAACACACUCAUCAAGAUCAUCGGCAACUCGGUGGGCGCCCUGGGAAACCUAACCCUGGUCCUAGCCAUCAUAGUCUUCAUCUUUGCCGUAGUGGGCAUGCAGCUGUUCGGCAAGAACUACCAGGACUGUGUGUGUAAGAUCUCCAAGGACUGUACGCUGCCGCGCUGGCACAUGAAGGACUUCUUCCACUCGUUCCUCAUCGUAUUCAGGGUGCUGUGCGGCGAGUGGAUCGAGACCAUGUGGGAUUGUAUGGAGGUGGCCGGGCAACCUCUCUGCAUCCUGGUCUUCAUGCUCGUCAUGGUGAUCGGGAACCUAGUGGUACUCAACCUCUUCCUAGCCUUGCUGCUCAGCUCAUUCAGCUCAGACAACCUCUCGGCACCUGAUGACGACGGCGAGAUGAACAACCUGCAAAUCGCUCUCGGUCGCAUCAAAAGCGGCAUGGGCUGGCUCCGAAGCCAGAUCUGUGACUUCUUCAACGGCAACUUCAAGAGGCGACGGCAGAAGAGAAAAGAAACAAAGGCCAUGGUGAAGCUCAAGAGGCUGAGCCACGGUGCUCCGCUUGGCGAGGUGGGCAACGGGACAGUGGUGACGGUGGGGGGGAGGGAUCGGGGUGAUCGGGCACCACGGAGAGAAGAUAAUGGUCCCGGAGGUCGAUGACAGCUACAUGACAAACCCCAAUCUGACCAUCAGUGUGCCCAUCGCUCCUGGCGAAUCAGACGUGGAGUUCCCUGAGGAGGAUGAUGAUGAUGAGGAUGAGAGCGAGAGCUCGGAGGAGGAGGAGGAGGAAGUGGAGGAGAGCAAGCAGGUAAAGGAUGACAUCAGCCUUUCAGAGGGCAGCACAGUGGAUCUGAGGAAGCCAGGGGAGGAAGAGGAUGAGUAUUCGGAGAUGGCCGAAGAGACCAUGGAUCCUGACAACUGCUUCCCUGAUGUAUGCGUGCGCCACUUCCAGUGCUGUGACAUCCAAACCACGGCGGGCCUGGGCCAGGCAUGGUGGCGGUUGAGGAAGACCUGCUUUCAGAUCGUGGAGCACAGCUGGUUCGAGUCCUUCAUCAUUUUUAUGAUCCUGCUGAGCAGCGGCGCUCUGGCCUUUGAGGACAUCUACAUCGAACAGAGAAAAGUGGUCAAAGUGGUGCUGGAGUACGCCGACAAGAUCUUCACCUACAUUUUCAUUCUGGAGAUGCUCCUCAAGUGGAUUGCAUACGGAUUCAAGAAGUACUUCACUAACUACUGGUGCUGGCUGGAUUUCCUGAUUGUGGAUGUGUCUUUGGUGAGCCUAGUGGCUAACACACUUGGCUACUCGGACUUCGCUGCCAUCAAAUCACUUAGAACCCUCAGAGCUCUGAGGCCGCUAAGAGCACUGUCCCGAUUUGAAGGCAUGCGGGUUGUGGUAAACGCCCUGAUCGGCGCCAUCCCUUCCAUCAUGAACGUACUGCUGGUGUGCCUGAUCUUCUGGCUCAUCUUCAGCAUCAUGGGGGUCAAUCUGUUCGCCGGAAAGUACGGACGCUGCGUCAACCAGACGGGCUACAUCCACAAUGUGUCCAUGGUCAACAACAAGACCGACUGCCGGGCCAUGAACGACACGCAGUUCUACUGGACCAGAGUCAAGGUCAACUUCGACAACGUGGGCGCUGGUUACCUUGCCCUCUUACAAGUUGCUACAUUCAAAGGCUGGAUGGAGAUCAUGUAUGCAGCAGUGGAUUCUCGUGCUGUGGACGAACAGCCUAUCAGAGAAGUCAACAUGUACAUGUACCUAUACUUCGUCAUUUUCAUCAUCUUUGGCUCCUUCUUCACCCUUAACCUCUUCAUUGGUGUCAUUAUCGACAACUUCAACCAGCAGAAACGAAAGUUAGGUGGGCAAGACAUCUUCAUGACAGAGGAACAGAAAAAGUACUACAAUGCCAUGAAGAAGCUAGGGUCUAAAAAGCCUCAGAAACCAAUUCCAAGGCCAUUGAACCAAGUGCAGGGCUUCUUCUUCGACCUGGUGGGAAAGCAGGCAUUCGACAUCAUCAUCAUGGUCCUCAUCCUGCUCAACAUGAUUACCAUGAUGGUGGAGACGGACGAGCAGCCGGCCCGAAUGGAGUACAUCCUCAACAAAAUCAACCUGGCCUUCAUCAUCAUCUUCUCCUGCGAGUGCCUCAUCAAGAUCGUGGCUCUACGCUGCUACUUCUUCACCAUUGGCUGGAACAUCUUCGACUUUGUAGUGGUCAUCCUCUCCAUCGUUGGUAUCGUUCUCGCUGACAUCAUAGAGAAGUACUUUGUGUCGCCGACACUGUUCCGAGUCAUUCGAUUGGCCAGGAUCGGACGAGUACUUCGACUCAUCCGUGGAGCCAAAGGAAUAAGGACCUUACUCUUUGCCUUAAUGAUGUCCCUUCCCGCCCUAUUCAACAUCGGCCUCCUGCUCUUUCUGGUCAUGUUCAUAUACGCCAUCUUUGGCAUGGCCAACUUUGCCUAUGUCAAAAAGCAGGCGGGCAUCGAUGACAUGUUCAACUUCGAGACGUUCGGCAACAGUAUGAUCUGCCUAUUCCAGAUCACCACGUCAGCGGGCUGGGACGGCCUGCUCAGCCCCAUCCUCAACAACUCUCCGGAAGAGUGCAACCCCAACCUCGUCCACACAGGCACAAACGCCCGGGGAAACUGUGGCAACCCCUCAGUGGGCAUCACCUUCUUUGUCACCUAUAUCAUCAUCUCCUUCCUCAUCGUGGUCAACAUGUACAUCGCCAUCAUUCUGGAGAACUUCAGCGUGGCCACCGAGGAGAGCACCGAGCCGCUGAGUGAGGACGACUUCGAGAUGUUCUAUGAGGUGUGGGAGAAGUUCGACCCAGAGGCCACGCAGUUCAUCGAGUACGCCAAGCUGUCAGACUUUGCCGACACACUGUCGGAGCCACUGCGCAUUGGCAAGCCUAACAAGAUUAAGCUGAUCUCCAUGGACCUGCCCAUGGUCAGUGGAGACAAGAUCCACUGCCUGGACAUUCUGUUUGCCUUCACCAAGCGUGUGUUGGGCGAGUCGGGUGAGAUGGACGCUCUUAAGCAGCAAAUGGAGGAGAAGUUCAUGAUGGCCAACCCAUCCAAGAUCUCCUACGAGCCCAUCACCACCACGCUGAGGCGCAAACAGGAGGACAUGUCCGCCGCAGUCAUCCAGAGGUGCUACCGCCGGCACCUGUUGCGGAGGCAGAUGAAGCAAGCCUCCUUCAUGUACAGAUCAAUGCAGAUCAAUCUGACGCAAAGCUCCACGGACAAGAGGGUCACCGCCCCGGAGAAAGAGGGCCUCAUAGCCUCCAUGAUCAAGGAGAACUACGGGGGGCCUGAGAUGGAGCUGAUGGAGACCCUGUCCUCCACCUCCUCUCCGCCCUCUUACGACAGCGUCACACGGGCGACUAGUGAACUUUUCCAAGUUUUAAUUCUCGAACAGUCCAGGAACAGUGACCUAAGCGAACAUUGCCUUGCCCCCGACAGAGACCGUGAGACAUUUCUGUAACAGCGACUAGGAAAUGCUUUUUUUCUCUUUUACAUUUUUUGUUGUUGUUGUUGUUGUUUACCGAAUGUAAAAUAGCUCAAAUGACCCUGGUUUAGUACAUGUGGUUGUGCAGAGAAUCUGCUCGGGGUUUUCAUAGAGAAAAGGCAAAUGAUUUGUUUAUUUUUGGUAAACAUGCUUUGUGGGAGUACACAAAGGGGGCGUGUGUAAAUCCUAGAUGACCAUUGACCCUGCUCAUGUCAAGUUUGCUUCACAGUUAAUAUGCAUGAAUAACCUCUGCAGGGUCACAACAAUUAUAUCACUGAUGUAAUAAUCAUUUAUUAGACUAAAAGAAAUACAGUUGAUCAGUAUUUACAAAGAAUGCCUGACCGUAUGAGUUCAUUAAAGGUCUUACUAUUAUUGGUGUGAUUCCUUAUGAUCAACAGUUUUAGAACUGUGAGAUGUGGGAGAAAAAACAAAGGGAUACAAUUUUUUCGUAGUAAAGUAUAACUUUGUUGAUGUUACCAGUCUUUCAUAGCAGUACAAUUAUUACUAUUUUUGAUAUUUUUAGAGUAAGAAAAAAAACAUGGCCUCUUCUGAAUUGGAGUCGCUUACCAUGAAAGGGAAUACUUCCACACUGUAACAAGACGAACGGGCAGGUAAUGACUUUUCACAUUAAAAGACCGCUGUAUUUGAACUGUUUUAGCGUUUUUUUCCCUUGCGUUUACAUGUAAAACAUAUCCCGGGCUCCCUGCAUAUUAGUUCACUUUUCAUUCAUAACGAUCUGGUUUUAGUUACACAAAGCUAAGAAGCAAUUCAGUAACCAAGAUCAGUAUGUGACAAUCAAACCUACAUCUCAUGGUUAAGAUUGACAGAUGUUUUUUUUCUCCAUAACUUCUUUAGGACUUAAACUGCCCAAGUGGCUGCAUAUUUUAUGAGCAUCAGAGAUCCUAUUCACUAUUAGACGGGUGGAUAAUCGUCCUAUUUAUUUAUUAUUUUAAGUAUUUGUUUUGCAUGUUUUGAAUGCAUCAUAUAGACAAGUCACGCCCAAGGCUGAACAGCUAUAAUUUCUCUACAGUAUUUUGCAGAAACUGUGUUUAGCAGUAAUUUGCUACUUUUAAGUGAAUUAUUUUUCAGAUAAAAGUGUAAAAGUUUGUACAGCAUUUAUUUAGUUUGCUCUACAGUCCAUUCAGCUUCUCUUGGUUACCCAUGACUACUCUCCACUGUAGGACUGAUACCGGCACAUAUAGUUUCUAUUCAACUAGAAGAAUAAUAAAAAAUACACCGCUCAACUUUAAUAUGAUAUACUGUAUAUUUUCAUGUUAUGGUUGCAGGUGUGUUGAAGGGCUGUUUUCUGUAGCAAUAGAUCCAGUGUGUGCCUGGUAUAUACAGUACCCCGGUCCUGUUUCUAAAUGGAUCUCUACCCACAUCGUUGCCCCAUUAGAUGCCAUGGAUGAGUGACUGGGAUCACACUGCUAUUUAUCAGUGUCUACGGGGGACUUUUCUAAAGAGAUUUCUGAUUGCAUGCUUUGUAUCGGGAACAUUGGGGAAAAUGUUUAGAACUUGGGAGCGGUCCUAUAUGUUGUUAGGAGGGGGGGACAUUUUUACACAAAAACGGCAUGGUGAAAAGUCAACUCGACACAUCUCUGUCAUAAAUGUACUGUUUUCAUCAAAACAAGAGCUGCUUCAUCAUAAUAACACCCAAGACAUGAACAGAAAAUGUUUUUUUUUCUCUCCAUUCUUAUAAACUGUCAUAAAUGCAGUAGCCUACAACAGGCAUCUUCUCAGCAGUCAGUAGAUACUGGCUUUACAUGUCUCACUGCUCAACCACAAUGCAGUGCCUCAGUAAUGCCCACAUUGCAGUAAAUAUUAUUUAUAAAUACAUUUUAGUACUUUAAGUUUAAAUAUUUUUUGUACUUUGCAAACACAUGCCUCUGUAUAUAAGAUAACGACCUCCUGUGAAAUAAAAGAGAGCCUACAAUA